GACAAAGUGAAACUUUCUCCGAUGCUGCCGCAAAUCGACUUUGAUAUCUUUCCCGUUGUUCCUUCACGUCAUCGUUGUUCACAAAUGCUGGUGCUGAGUGUGAUUGCAUAAAAGCACACUGGCUGUUACCCACACAUCAAAAAACGAUGUGAUCAUCUUCUCUCUGGAAAACAAACUCCAGGCUCGGACUAAUGGCGGUGUUUGUGUGUUUACCUCCGCAAUCCAUGAAAUGACAGAUAUGAGAGGAACCGGUGUCAUCUCUCUCCCAUGAGCUUCUUCUCUAUGAUGCUUCAUUCGUCUGAAGCCUGCUACAUCACAAACAUUGAGGAGACCACAUGUCAAG